rnacentral:rRNA from 1 species
CUUGCUCCUUGGGUGACGAGUGGCGGACGGGUGAGUAAUGUCUGGGAAACUGCCCGAUGGAGGGGGAUAACUACUGGAAACGGUAGCUAAUACCGCAUAACGUCGCAAGACCAAAGAGGGGGACCUUCGGGCCUCUUGCCAUCGGAUGUGCCCAGAUGGGAUUAGCUAGUAGGUGGGGUAACGGCUCACCUAGGCGACGAUCCCUAGCUGGUCUGAGAGGAUGACCAGCCACACUGGAACUGAGACACGGUCCAGACUCCUACGGGAGGCAGCAGUGGGGAAUAUUGCACAAUGGGCGCAAGCCUGAUGCAGCCAUGCCGCGUGUAUGAAGAAGGCCUUCGGGUUGUAAAGUACUUUCAGCGAGGAGGAAGGUGUUGAGGUUAAUAACCGCAGCGAUUGACGUUACUCGCAGAAGAAGCACCGGCUAACUCCGUGCCAGCAGCCGCGGUAAUACGGAGGGUGCAAGCGUUAAUCGGAAUUACUGGGCGUAAAGCGCACGCAGGCGGUCUGUCAAGUC